AUGAACGCUGGCGGCGUGCCUCAUACAUGCAAGUCGAGCGAACAGACGAGGAGCUUGCUCCUCUGACGUUAGCGGCGGACGGGUGAGUAACACGUGGAUAACCUACCUAUAAGACUGGGAUAACUUCGGGAAACCGGAGCUAAUCCCGGAUAAUAUAUUGAACCGCAUGGUUCAAUAGUGAAAGACGGUUUUGCUGUCACUUAUAGAUGGAUCCGCGCCGCAUUAGCUAGUUGGUAAGGUAACGGCUUACCAAGGCGACGAUGCGUAGCCGACCUGAGAGGGUGAUCGGCCACACUGGAACUGAGACACGGUCCAGACUCCUACGGGAGGCAGCAGUAGGGAAUCUUCCGCAAUGGGCGAAAGCCUGACGGAGCAACGCCGCGUGAGUGAUGAAGGUCUUCGGAUCGUAAAACUCUGUUAUUAGGGAAGAACAAAUGUGUAAGUAACUAUGCACGUCUUGACGGUACCUAAUCAGGAAGCCACGGCUAACUACGUG
rnacentral:rRNA from 1 species